CAUGUCCAUCGUUACGUUCAACCCGCUCAGCUAGCCUGCUGCUUGCAUCAAGCCCUCACUAACCAUGAACCAACUCGUGUUUGCCGUUCUUGCCCUCGCUGUGCUCUCCAUGAGCGCCCAAGCUUCCUUCUAUGGUGGUCUUGGUUUUGGAGGACUCGGUGGGCUUGGAUAUGGUGGGCUUGGAUUCGGUGGGCUUGGAUUCGGCGGUCUUGGAUUCGGCGGUCUUGGAUACGGCGGUCUUGGAGGUUGGGGACUGGGCAGACUCGGAUGGGGAGGUCUUGGAUACGGAUAUGGUCUCCCUAUUUACAAAGGCCUCUAUUAUUAAACGUAUGGAAACAACAUACUAGACAACCGUUGCAAUAUUAAAUUCGCACUGUCCCAGUUUAAUAUUUAUGUCUUGAGUCCACAAUAAAAAAUUAAAAAAA